GUGAACGCUGGCGGUAGGCCUAACACAUGCAAGUCGAACGGCAGCACAGUAAGAGCUUGCUCUUACGGGUGGCGAGUGGCGGACGGGUGAGGAAUACAUCGGAAUCUACUUUUUCGUGGGGGAUAACGUAGGGAAACUUACGCUAAUACCGCAUACGACCUACGGGUGAAAGCAGGGGAUCUUCGGACCUUGCGCGAUUGAAUGAGCCGAUGUCGGAUUAGCUAGUUGGCGGGGUAAAGGCCCACCAGGCGACGAUCCGUAGCUGGUCUGAGAGGAUGAUCAGCCACACUGGAACUGAGACACGGUCCAGACCCCUACGGGAGGCAGCAGUGGGGAAUAUUGGACAAUGGGCGCAAGCCUGAUCCAGCCAUACCGCGUGGGUGAAGAAGGCCUUCGGGUUGUAAAGCCCUUUUGUUGGGAAAGAAAAGCAGCAGGUUAAUACCCCGCUGUUCUGACGGUACCCAAAGAAUAAGCACCGGCUAACUUCGUG
rnacentral:rRNA from 1 species